rnacentral:rRNA from 1 species
AUACGGAGGGUGCAAGCGUUACUCGGAAUCACUGGGCGUAAAGCGCGCGCAGGCGGGCUGAUGAGUUGGAUGUGAAAGCCUACGGCUCAACCGUAGAACUGCAUCCAAAACUGUCAGUCUAGAGUCUGGGAGGGGAAGAUGGAAUUAGUUGUGUAGGGGUAAAAUCCGUAGAGAUAACUAGGAAUACCAAAAGCGAAGGCGAUCUUCUGGAACAGUACUGACGCUGAGGCGCGAAAGCGUGGGGAGCAAACAGGAUUAGAUACCCUAGUAGUCC